rnacentral:rRNA from 1 species
CCUACGGGAGACAGCAGUGGGGAAUAUUGCGCAAUGGGCGAAAGCCUGACGCAGCGACGCCGCGUGAGGGAUGAAGGUCUUCGGAUCGUAAACCUCUGUCAGCAGGGAAGAACGGUCACUGUGCUAAUCAGCAGUGAAUUGACGGUACCUGCAAAGGAAGCACCGGCUAACUCCGUUCCAGCAGCCGCGGUAAUACGGAGGGUGCGCGCGUUAAUCGGAAUUACUGGGAGUAAAGCGCUCGUACGCGGUAUGUCAAGUCAAGGGAGAAAUCCCCGCGCUCAACGUGGGAACUGCCUUUGAAACUGGCAAACUGGAGUGUGUGAGAGGAUAGUGGAAGUCCAGGUGUAGGAGUGAAAUCCGUAGAUAUCUGGAGGAACAUCAGUGGCGAAGGCGACUAUCUGGCACAUAACUGACGCUGAGGAGCGAAAGCGUGGGUAGCAAACAGGAUUAGAUACCCGGGUAGUC